rnacentral:rRNA from 1 species
GAUGAACGCUCGCGAUAGGCUUAACACAUGCAAGUCGAGGGGCAGCACAAGGUAGCUUGCUAUCUGGGUGGCGACCGGCGCACGGGUGCGUAACGCGUAUGCAACUUGCCCUAUACAGGAGGAUAACCCGUCGAAAGACGGACUAAUACUGCGUAUGCUCACAACUUGGCAUCAAGUGGUGAGGAAGGAAAUUCGGUAUAGGAUAGGCAUGCGUCCCAUUAGCUUGUUGGUGAGGUAACGGCUCACCAAGGCAACGAUGGGUAGGGGAACUGAGAGGUUUUGCCCCCACAGUGGUACUGAGACAAGGACGAGAGUGCUACGGGAGGCAGCAGUGAGGAAGAUAGGUCAAGGGGCGCGAGCCUGAACCAGCCAAGUCGCGUGAAGGAGGACUGUGUUAGGGAUGGUAAACUUCUUUUAGACGGGAAUAACAAGAGGCACGUGUGACUCCCUGCAUGUACCGGAUGAAUAAGCAUCGGCUAACUCCGUG